UCUUGGCUCUGGCAUCGAUGAAGAACGCAGCGAAACGCGAUAAGUAAUGUGAAUUGCAGAAUCCAGUGAAUCAUCGAAUCUUUGAACGCACAUUGCGCCCGCCAGCAUUCUGGCGGGCAUGCCUGUUCGAGCGUCAUUUCAACCCUCGACCUCCCCUU
rnacentral:rRNA from 1 species